rnacentral:misc_RNA from 1 species
UCACAGUUCUGAAGCCAACUCCAUUGGAACUCAAAAUUGAAGCUUAAGGGCAGAAAUAAGGUAGAGAAAGAAUGCAUGCUUGAAUCUGUUUGAUGCUUAUAGGUAAGCAAAAAGUGUUAAUUUCAUUGAUUCUUGAGGGAGGCUUUGUUGGGAUNNNACAGGAGGAAAAAGGGUGUGAGUUUUUAAAUUAGUCAGGUCCUACUGGAUCUGGAUGGACCCAAUAGGAAAGGAAUUGAUGGAUCAAUCAAGCUAUAUGCAAAUGAACCUCACAAUUCAGGGUCAAUCAACUCAAAUCAGCAAGGGGGGGAAUAAUAACAGUGUUGAUGCCAUCUUCAAU